ensembl:lncRNA
UUUAUUCAAGUAUAAUUAUCGGCUACCGUUGAGUUGAGGAAUCAGUUUGAUGCAAAAAGUAAAAAGUCUCCAGUUGUCUUAAAUAUGAAUAUUAUCAGAUUGUUGUGAGCAAACCAGAGAUUUGAGGACUUGUUUUAUUUUCAUAAACUAAACAGCUAAUGGAAAAAGUAAUCCACAGGUUUACAGACCAUGAAUCACUAGCUAGUAUGAUCUUUACUCGAGAUACUCGAGCAUCUGGCCUCCUCCAGGUAGGACUUUCAGAAUGAAUGUUUGAGGAGGUCUGGAGGGAUUUAAUGAGUCUCGUGCUUCUCUGCUGCAGUGUGGAGAGCGAUUACAGAAGCACGUGAGACUAUUAAGAGUUCCCACCAACACCAGGUUCUCUUCCUCAAAGUGUACCGACUCACACCUCAGAUCUCCACGAGGCUUCAUGUGUAUGAAUCCAAACCCGAUCUGAAAGCUUCUUCUGGUUCUUCUUCUUCAUCGCUGUGGAUCCUCCGGCUUCAGAGGACUCGCCUCAUGAAGGCUGAAAAGCUUCUGGUCCACUUCUGCAGACAAAAGGGAUUCAAGAGACUCACACGACUCUGUACUGACAACGACUCACCUGACCACCGACACUAACGACUCACCUGACCACCGACACGAACGAGUCACGUGACUACUGACACUAACGAGUCACAUGACUACCGACACUAACGAGUCAGGUGACUACCGACACUAACGAGUCACCUGACUACUGACACUAACGACUCACCUGACUACCGACACGAACGAGUCAGGUGACUACCGACACUAACGACUCACGUGACCACCGACACUAACGAGUCACAUGACUACCGACACGAACGAGUCAGGUGACUACCGACACUAACGACUCACGUGACCACCGACACUAACGAGUCACAUGACUACCGACACUAACGAGUCAGGUGACUACCGACACUAACGAGUCACAUGACUACCGACACUAACGAGUCACGUGACUACCGACACGAACGAGUCAGGUGACUACCGACACUAACGACUCACGUGACCACCGACACUAACGAGUCACAUGACUACCGACACUAACGAGUCAGGUGACUACCGACACUAACGAGUCACGUGACUACAGACACUAACGAGUCAGGUGACCACCGACACUAACGACUCACGUGACCACUGACACUAACGAGUCACAUGACUACCGACACUAACGAGUCAGGUGACUACCGACACGAACGAGUCACAUGACUACCGACACUAACGAGUCAGGUGACUACCGACACUAACGAGUCACGUGACUACAGACACUAACGACUCACGUGACCACCGACACUAACGAGUCAGGUGACUACCGACACUAACGAGUCAGGUGACUACCGACACUAACGAGUCACGUGACUACAGACACUAACGACUUACCUGACCACCGACACUAACGAGUCACAUGACUACCGACACUAACGAGUCAGGUGACUACCGACACUAACGAGUCACGUGACUACAGACACUAACGAGUCACGUGACCACCGACACUAACGAGUCAGGUGACUACAGACACUAACGAGUCACGUGACCACCGACACUAACGAGUCAGGUGACUGAUAAGUCAAACUAAUAACAAUAUCUCAAUUUAUUUUAUCUUUUUUUAUUACAAUUUUGUAUCAAAGGUGCACAUUAAUAAAUCACAUAAGUCUUUAUAACUUUAACUCACAGUAAAAGACGUCUCAUGUCAGUAAUGGUUCUUUUAAUUCUGUGAAUCACUAAUUAGCAGAAGGUGGUUUAAUACAAGACGAGCAGCAGAGAUCCAGUAGAAUAGAAAGAUUCAUAGCAGACGCCUCCUUAAUUCCCCUUUAUGCUAAUUAAUAAUAAUCAAAGCUGCUUAUGUAACGGUGCACAACAGAAGGAGUCCUCCGUUCCGUCUCUCCAUCUUCCUGUGAUUUGACUUGAAAAUCUGUGUUUUGAGCUUUGACAGCAGCUCAGAUCGUGGUGAUAAAAAGCCGGUUGGUUACGUAACGCUGCUGCCCACAUAACCCCAGAUUACUGCUCUACAGGAGGAUGUGAUCAUCUCCACCACACCGACGAGUCACGUGACCAACUAGUGACUCGGGAGGACGGGGAGGACUGAGAGGACUGGGAGGACAGGGAGGACUGAGAGGACAGGGAGGACAGGCAGGACGGG